UACGUAGGGGGCAAGCGUUGUCCGGAAUUAUUGGGCGUAAAGAGCGCGUAGGCGGUCCGAUAAGUCGGCUGUGAAAGUCAGGGGCUCAACCCUUGGAAGCCGGCCGAUACUGUCGGACUAGAGUCCGGAAGAGGCGAGUGGAAUUCCCGGUGUAGCGGUGGAAUGCGUAGAUAUCGUAAGGAAGACCAGUGGCGAAGGCGGGUCUCUGGACAGUUCCUGACGCUGAGGCACGAAGGUCAGGGGAGCAAACGGG
rnacentral:rRNA from 1 species